UUCAUUCUGACUCACACACUUUCAGCUCAAGCAAACCCUAACAUUGGUUUGCAAAUCCAGCCGUGCCAUUUGAUUUCAACCGAUCUCUCCAAUCAGGUUUUCCCUAUAUCCAUCAUCUUUAUGCCUUUAAUUUGAAUGCUCUAAAUGUAUGAGGUAUUAUGGGUGAAUUUGAUACCCUUUUGAUGCAUGUGUUUGACAAGAGGUUU
rnacentral:lncRNA from 1 species